AUCGCUCACAUGCACAGUGCUCAGCCUCGCCCAUGCCCGGAUCCCGAGGGACAGCUGCUCGGAGACCCACCCAGAAGCUAAGCUGCAGGGUGAGCAAUGUUUUCCACUGUGAGCGGGCGCCCGGCUAAGCUGCAUGUGGGUGAAUCAUGAAAGCCUGAACAGGGAGAUGGAUUAGGGCUAGAAGGGAACUCCACUUCAUAAAGCUUGUGCCUCCCCUCCCCCACCAAGAACAGGCCUGGAAAGGAGACCUACCACUUUCCAAAUAGCUUUUCAGUUUCAGGCCUUAUCAGGACUAACAAGGGGGCCCCUGGUUUUACGUAUCCAGCUUUGCCAACAGCGGGGAGCAGAGACACGCAGCCUGGUAAGAAAGGAGGUAAGGCUAUCCUGCACUCACUCAUUAUGGACAGAAUGCACCCCUGUAUAUGUUAGA
rnacentral:lncRNA from 1 species